rnacentral:rRNA from 1 species
GGCGCACGGGUGCGUAACGCGUAUACAAUCUGCCUUUCACAUAGGGAUAGCCCGAAGAAAUUUGGAUUAAUACCUAAUGGUAUAUAAGAGCGGCAUCGUUUUUAUAUUAAAGCUACGGUGGUGAAAGAUGAGUAUGCGUUCUAUUAGCUAGUUGGAGAGGUAACGGCUCCCCAAGGCGACGAUAGAUAGGGGUUCUGAGAGGGAUGUCCCCCACACUGGUACUGAGAUACGGACCAGACUCCUACGGGAGGCAGCAGUGAGGAAUAUUGGACAAUGGUCGGAAGACUGAUCCAGCCAUGCCGCGUGCAGGAUGAAGGUCCUAUGGAUUGUAAACUGCUUUUGUAAGGGAAGAAUAAGGAGUACGUGUACUUUGAUGACGGUACCUUACGAAUAAGCAUCGGCUAACUCCGUGCCAGCAGCCGCGGUAAUACGGAGGAUGCGAGCGUUAUCCGGAAUCAUUGGGUUUAAAGGGUCCGUAGGCGGGCUGAUAAGUCANANGUGAAAGCGCUUAGCUCAACUAAGCAACUGCCUUUGAAACUGUCAGUCUUGAAUGAUUGUGA